UUACCCUUCCCACUCCCCCUUUCCUCAAGUCCGUUCUCUACGUCUGCGUCUUUAUUCCUGCCCUGCCUCUGGGUUCAUCAGAACAAUUUUUUUUUUUAGAUUCCAUAUAGAUGCGUUAGCAUACGGUAUUUGUUUUUCUCUUUCUGACUUACUUCACUCUGUAUGACAGACUCUAGGUCCAUCCACCUAACGACAAAUAAAUUUCGUUUCUUUUUAUGGCUGAGUAAUAGUCCUUUGUAUAUUUGUGCCACAUCUGUAGCGUUGGUUUUGAUCUGCCUCUCAUGAUGCCCUUUCUCUCAUCUUUUGGGGGGAGUCAUCCCUACUCUCCCCCUCACCCGCAACCCUGUAGUCCUGGUGGGGCUUGUCAACCACUGUAGGUUGCUAAGCAGGAGGAAGUUACCAAGGCCCCCUAAACUAGGGAGAGUCCACCCUCAGAGGAGAGCCAAUUAGAGGGGAGAGAUGGCGCCCUGUUGACAUUGUGUGAGCCCCUGGAGCCAGUCAUCCCUGAACUCCACCCAGUAACAGGAGCUUAUAAGCCCCGUCCCCCCGACGCCCUCCCCAUCCUUUUUGGCUUAAACUUGUGGAUUACUGAAAGCCCUGGCUCUCUUUUCCUUCCAUCCUAGAAGGCAACGAUGGUCUCUCUUGUCCCAUUAACAAAAGGGAAAGAGAAAGGGUGUUGCAGGUAAAAAGUCAAAACUGGAAGAUUUUAUUUAACAGGUUUCUACAAUAUCUUCCUAUAAUCAAAUGCUAUGCUGCCACGGAAUGAUGUAGAAAAAUAGGUAAUAAGGCAAAGUAUCACCAAGGAACAAUGAACACGUGUUAGUUUUGCAAUCAGAAAACAGUCUAACUGAUGCAAAAGAAGUUUUGCAUCAGGAAGAGUGCUUUUAAGUCAGGUCUGGAGAACCUCAGAGCCAGCCCUAGCUGAUAGGUUUCUUUCUUUCAUUUUCUUAUUUAUCAGACACUCAUAGGGCACUUGCUGCGUGCCAGACAUUGUUCUAACUCUUUUAAUCCUAACAGAGACUUCAUGAAGUAGUUUCUACGAUUGCCCCCAUUUUACAGGUAAGGAAACUGAGGCCUAGGAGUAAAGUGACUUGUCCACGGUCACAGCGGUGCCUGAUUGAAGCCCAGCAGCCUCUCCCCCAAGUCAUGCUCAUCAGUCCCAGGAUGCUGCCUUUCACAGUCAUUUAUUAACUGCUGUCUAAAAGGAGAGAGUUAUUAUUAUUUUUUUAAGUAGUUAUUUAUUUAUUUUCUUUAUUUUUUUGGCUUCGUCGGGUCUUAGUUGCGGCACGCGGGAUCUUCAUUGAGGCAUGUGGGAUCUUCCGUUGCAGCAUGUGGGCUUCUCUUUAGUUGUGGCGCGCAGGCUCCAGGGCACGUGGCCUCUGUAGUUGCAGCACGCAGGCUCUCUCGUUGAGGUGCGUGCGGGCUCAGUAGUUGUGGCGCGCGGGCUUAGUUGCCCCUUGGCAUGUGGGAUCUUAGUUACCUGACCAGGGAUCGAACCCGUGUCCCCUGAAUUGGAAGGUGCAUUCUUUACCACUGGACCACCAGGGAAGUCCUGAGAAGUUAUUUUUUAAAAAGCCCACUACCACCUAGAUUGCAUUCAAUCAUUCAGAAGAAGGGUCCUUUCUUCUUAAGGACGUAACCAGUUAAGGGAGAGAAAGAAAUAGAAGAAAAACAGAGAAAGGGAAGAAAAGACAGAUGCGGGAGGGAGGAGGUGGGAGGGAGAAAGUGAAAGAAAAGGUUAAACGAUGCCCAAGUACACGUGGGGUUAGGAGGUUGAAGGUAAGAUGACAUCAAGUGUAUAUGUCACACCUGAUUUUCUCUUGGGCAGUAGUGAGUAACUCCUGUUAGGGCUGCCCUUUUACAUUUUAAUGAGUUGACGAAGCACUAUUCCUAGCUCUUUGUUUUUAUAAUAUAUUUUUAAAAUUGAGAUAUAAUUCACAUAACACAGAAUUCACCCUUUUAAAGUGUGCACUUCAGUGUAUAUUCACUGUUCAAUUCUAGGACAUUUCUGUUACCCCAGAAAGAAACCCUGUACCCAAUUCAUGGUCACCCCCUUCUUCCUCCUUCCCUCACCCCUGGCAACUGUUAGUGUCCUGUCUCUCCCAAUUUGCCUGUUCUGAGCGUUUCAUAUAAAUGGAAUCGUACACUGUGGCCUUUUGUGUAUGGCUUCUUUCACUUAGCAUGAUGUCUUCAGGGUUCAUCCAUGUUGUAGCAUGUCAGCACUUCUUUCCUUUUUACGACUGAAUAAUAUUCCCUGUGUGAAUAGAAUACCUUUUAUUUAUCCAUUCAUCCGUUGAUGGACAUUUGGCUUGUUUUUGAUUUGGGGCCAUUGUGGAUAAUGCUGCUGUGAACGUUUGUGUACCGGCUUUUGUGUGGACAGCUUUCAUUUCUCUUGGGUGUAUACUCAGGAGUGGAAUCGUGGGGUCACGUGGCGACUCUUUGCUUAACCUUUUGAGGAAUUGCCAAACUUUUCCUAGCUCUUUAACCUCUAAUCCUUAACUGUCAUUUAUGGAAGGUUGUAAAAAUGUAGCCUGUACUCUGGCUGCAGUGUCCUAAAUUCUAUGAGAUGGGUUAUGGUAUGCCCUUUAAAAUGGCCCCUCUUCCGUUGAAGCUGACAUGCCAUGUGCCAACCUUCUGCAGCUGGAGGUUGGCUUGUGGGUUCCUCCAGGCCACCUGGGGAUGCAGUCUCCUGAGGGAGGAUCACCGCUUCCCCCAUGGUGAUUCGUGACCAGCAAUAAAGAGUCAUCAGAGGGAUGGAGAAGGGCCCAGGUUAACCCAAACUGACAAAGCUACUCCCCAUCCCACAAAAGUGACCCCCCAAUACCAAGAUGCAACUAAGACAUUAAAGAAAACCCUAAAACAGGUGAUCCUGACUCUUUCCCAAGCUGCUCAGUCAAAAAUGCCUGUUCUUGGCAGUACUGUUAAAUCCCCUACGUACAAAUGAGUUCCGUUCCAAGAGCACAUUUGUAAAUCCAAUCUGUUCGCUAAGUCCAACAAAGUUAACCUAGGUAUCCAACGAAUACAAUGACUAUAUAGGACUGUACUGUAAUAGGUUUAUAAUACUUUUCACACAAAUAAUACAUAAAAAACAAACAUAAAUUAAAAAUUUCUUUAAAAGUUUUAUUUAUUUUUGGCUGCAUUGGGUCUUCGUUGCUGCGUGUGGGCUUUCUCUAGUUGCGGUGAGCGGGAGCUACUCUAUUGUGGUGUGGUGGCUUCUCGUUGCGGAGCACAGGCUGUAGGCGUGCGGGCUCAGUAGUUGUGGCUCGCAGGCUCAGUAGUUGUGGCGCACAGGCUUAGUUGCUCCGCGGCAUGUGGGAUCUUCCCCGACCAGGGAUCGAACCCGUGUCCCCUACGUUAGCAGGCGGAUUCUUAACCACUGCACCACCAGGGAAGUCCCAAGAUAAAGCAUUUUUAAUCUUACAGGACGGUACCUUGAGAAGCACAGCAGUGCAGUACAACAGCUGGCGCUUCUCAGCAGUACCAGCUACAUCACCACUGCUUUUACGCAUGCUAACGGACAACCUGGGCUUGAAAUAAAGAUGCUGUACUGCUGUACUCUAUACAGCGCUGUACAGUAAAGUACACCAAAACACAACCACUUGUAGAGGAUGCACGCACAUGACGGUGUACGCCAGACACGUGAACUAAUUUACGUGAUUGGACAUGUGAACGCACGUUCGCAUCUUUGAAAGUUCGCAACUUGAAGGUUCGUAUGUAGGGGACUUACUGUAAUUAAGGUUUGCGUGAGCCUUAAGGUCUAUCGUGCUCUCACAUGUCACUCACGGUGGGUCCUCAGCAGGACCUUGAACUUGGGCGAGCGGUGACUCCUCGCAUCCUCCUGAUUUUACAGCCCAGGACACGGGAAGCGAGGAAUUUGUGAUUUGCUCCAGGUUAGGAAGUGGCCGUUAGUCAAGAACAGAGUUAGCAUUCAGACCCUUUGACUCAGAGUUCUGUACUCUUUUAUUACGAGCUCUUGGCAGUGUUCACACUCAUUUUAAAAUCUAGAUAAAGGUACUCUGUUUUUUUGUUUUUUUUUUUAAAGAAUCAAGUUAGAGAGUUUGAGCUUGGUUUGAGGAAGCUUUGAUAAAAUUCCGGUUGUAUCUUUGGCACGAGGGAGAGGGGUGGCCGUGUGUACCCCCAGUCCCAUCCCGUGUGUACAAACACAGUUACCCAAUAUCUUUUUACAAGUUUAUUUUCUAUGUUUAUGUGUGAGGUUUCUUACCCUGCUUGGCUGGUCUCAGUGUCUCACUUUGAGCUCUAAGAGGAAAUAGAAGGAUGUUCCUGUUAUUUUAACUAGCUAGUAAAUUCCGAACUGGGAGAUAGGUUCAGCUGGGAUCAAACACCGUUUACAGAAACUUUCGGGUUGUUUCCUUUUGUCUGAGUGUUUUAAAAAUCUACCUAAUUGAGGUUGCCUGGGAGUUUUUGCGGGUUUCAGAGACGCAGCUGUAUAUUUAUACUUUGCUGUGAUUAAACACAGGCACACAUACAGGGCCCUCCCCUCAAAAAAAAAAAAAACAAAAAAAACAAACCUCACUACUUGGCUUUGCCUGAAAGUGGGAUAACAACUAUUUAUUCAUGAGCCAAAACCCAGGCACAUAGGGGAUCUUGCACAAGUAAGAUGAGCAGAAUACUUUCAAAUGUUUUAAAUUGAAUUGGGAAGGUAUGAAUAAGUAUUUUGCCAUUAACACAUUAACAAAAAAUGUAAACUGGGUGACUAAGCAUUUGAAGAGGGCUUUUUGGUUUCCUCCUUACUUGUAGAAAUUCUUGACUUAAUAGGGAGAUCUCAAUUUAGCGUGCCCAAAGGAGCAUGGAUUCUGAAAUAGUAGGUCCUAAAAUAAGGAAUUUUUACUGUCUCACUGUAGGAAAGGAGUGUUCUUUAGGCUGUUACCCCUUGACCGUGAUGUAGCCUGUUACAUACCGAGGUGGUCAGUUUCCAGCCGGGGUGCAUCAAAGCAGAAUGGGGCCUUGGAGCCCGUGGGAGGGCCUGGGAGUCUGCAUUGCUGGCAAGUUCCUAGUGAGGCUGGUCUGUGGACCCCACUUUGAGUAGCAGGGAAUCCACUUUCUGUCUCUUGAGAGGAUUUUGCUUUGUAAAACAAGAUGUGAAGGUCAGUCACAACGUGGGAGACUUGGCUAGGACCCCAUCCUGGGGCAUCUGUUCUCGGCUUGACCCGGGAAGUAGGCUGGGAUGGGCAAAACAUUCCAUUUCUUAUCCAUCCUUUCUAUUUAAUACGGGUUUUUGUCACAAAGCCUGCUGGUUCAAAGGGCCUGGGGCCCACACUCUGGGCCCCUGCCAGAAAGUCCUGGCUUUAGACCAGCAGGAGCAAGUUCUAUCAUCGAGGUGACUGCUCUGCCCCACAGAGACAAAAUGUGUCUCUCCACCUCACUGAACCCUGGGGCUUUGCUCCAGGGUUAUGCUCCUUUGAGGGCUGGGAGAUGGCCCUCAUUUCUGGGGGUCUUAGAAGGUGUUGCUCUCACACCCCCUCCCUGAGCCCCGGCCACGCACUGACUCCCUGGCUGCUGGUCCUGACCCAGCCACUGUCUGUCCAGCAGCAGGUGUGAUGGUGUCCCCGGCAGGAACAGAGGACCCACGGGUGCCUCUCUUCCCCACACCAGGACCAGGCCGCCGAUUGGACUGCUACACCUGUAGGAACUCGGAACUUGGUCCUAGGGGCCCUGGGCCCUGCUUCAUCUCAAUGCCACCUAUGUGAUAGACCCCCCAGGGCCAGGGCAGGGCUUCAGCGUCUGGUUUUAUGGCCUUGAAGGUUUCUUCCAAGCCUCUGCUGCUUCCUCCCUUAACCAAGUUUUCUAAUGAUCGGAUGGGGGGCCCUUCUGGUCUUCGUGCUGCCUGAGCUUCCCUGGGCACCUUUUCCUUGGACUAAGCUGGGCAUGGCUUGCUCCAGAGAAACCUGGGAGUUCUGUCAUUCUUUCUGCACCCCCUUCCCAGCACUUCUCUGAAAUACAGUUUGUUUUCUUUGCUUUGUGAGUGCCUUUGAACUUUCCUUACCAGUACUUGUCCCCAUGCCCCUGGCAGAUGGCUCUGGACACCAGGGUGUUUGCAGCCUUCAGCUGAGCAAGGCUUUCUGCCAGGGAUGGGCUGAGGGUUUUCUUUUGGUCUCCCACCCUCUGCCUGGGGCAACCAGUGUUUCCUGCGCCAUCUGGGUGGAAUGGCCGUGGAAUGGCCAGCCACAGUUGAGAACUCCCUUUCGAGACCUGGCUGUGCAUCUCUGGAAAACACACCUGAUCUUUGGUACCAAGUGGCUUCUCUUGCUGCAGAGCACGGGCUCUAGGCACGCGGGCUUCAGUGGUUGUGGCUCACAGGCUCUAGAGCACAGGCUCAGUAGUUGUGGCAUACGGGCUUAGUUGCUCCGCAGCAUGUGGGAUCUUCCUGGACCAGGGCUCGAACCUGUGUCCCCUGCAUCGGCAGGCGGAGUCUUAACUACUAAGCCACCAGGGAAGUCCGAAGAAGAGUUAUUUUUGAAGCCACAGAUAGAUGUGGAAAUUUAUCAAAUGAUGCCUUAUAGCAUCUCUCAAGAUAAUCAUAUUUUAAAAGGUUUUUGAAAUAUUAAUAUGAUUAAUGAUAUUAAUAGAUUUUCUAGCAGGACAGUGUUGAAAUCAGAACAACUUGCUGGAAAGAGCAUAGGACAGAGUGUCUGGAAAGCCGGAUUCUGGCUCUAGUUUGGUUCUUGGUUACAAAUUUGACCUUGGACCAGCCCAUGUGCUUCCUUAUUCCCUCUAACAGUAUCCCAGCGUUUCCUUCUCUGUCACGUGGGCAUAGUUCUGUUUUCCUCCCUUUCUUGCUAGUGAGUUGGAAGGAUCGCAGCGGAUCAAUAGUUCUUUCCUUUACAUUUGUUUAAAUGCUUUCUCAUCUGAACCAUGACACAAGUGUAAAAUGAGGGGUAUCACGAUGUUCCUUACUGGGCCAUCAUCAACCAGGAAUUCACGUGUUCAUUCACUCAUUCCUCCAACAAAUAUUUAUGGAGCAACUGCAAAGUGCUAGGAAUUGUUCCAGAUGCUGGGAAUACAGCCGUCAACGAAGUAGACCAGUUCCCUGCGCAGUAGAGCUGACAUCCCAAUAAACACACAC